UGCAGUUCGCUUAGCAGACUCGAGUAAAUUUUGCACAAAUGUGUUGCUAGUUGGAUCUAACUGACCACAAAUUUCGUGAGCCCACUUAACGGAGUAAAAAGCAGUGUUAACAGUACUAAAUGUACCACCAUUAUCUAAUAAAUGUACAAAAUAUAAAGCUAUAUGAAUUGGAGAUGCUGGCAAAGAAAGCAAACUAUGUUCUAUACAAAAUCUUUUCCAUUUCAUAAAACCGUAAUAAUAUUUUUUAUCAGUACUUUCACUUCUG
rnacentral:lncRNA from 1 species